UGGCGGACGGGUGAGUAACGCGUAAAGAACUUGCCCUUUAGACUGGGAUAACAGAGGGAAACUUCUGAUAAUACUGGAUAAGUUAGUAUAUCGCAUGAUAUGCAAAUGAAAGCUACGGCACUAAAGGAGAGCUUUGCGUCCUAUUAGCUAGUUGGUAAGGUGAGAGCUUACCAAGGCGAUGAUAGGUAGCCGGCCUGAGAGGGUGGACGGCCACAAGGGGACUGAGAUACGGCCCUUACUCCUACGGGAGGCAGCAGGC
rnacentral:rRNA from 1 species